rnacentral:rRNA from 1 species
AGCGAACGCUGGCGGCAGGCUUAACACAUGCAAGUCGAGCGGGCCCUUCGGGGUCAGCGGCGGACGGGUGAGUAACGCGUGGGAACGUGCCUUCUGGUCUGGAAUAACCCUGGGAAACUAGGGCUAAUACCGGGUACGCCCUUUUGGGGAAAGGUUUACUGCCGGAAGAUCGGCCCGCGUCUGAUUAGCUAGUUGGUGGGGUAACGGCCUACCAAGGCGACGAUCAGUAGCUGGUCUGAGAGGAUGAUCAGCCACACUGGGACUGAGACACGGCCCAGACUCCUACGGGAGGCAGCAGUGGGGAAUAUUGGACAAUGGGCGCAAGCCUGAUCCAGCCAUGCCGCGUGAGUGAUGAAGGCCUUAGGGUUGUAAAGCUCUUUUAUCCGGGACGAUAAUGACGGUACCGGAGGAAUAAGCCCCGGCUAACUUCGUG